GUAGCUUGCUAUAGAGAUAAUUAGUGGCAGACGGGUGAGUAAUGCAUAGGAAUCUACCUAGUAGUAUAGGAUAGCCACUAGAAAUGGUGGGUAAUACUGUAUAAUCCCUGCGGGGGAAAGAUUUAUCGCUACAUGAUGAGCCUAUGUUAGAUUAGCUAGUUGGUAGGGUAAAGGCCUACCAAGGCGAUGAUCUAUAGCUGGUCUGAGAGGAUGAUCAGCCACACUGGAACUGAGAUACGGUCCAGACUCCUACGGGAGGCAGCAGUGGGGAAUAUUGGACAAUGGGCGCAAGCCUGAUCCAGCUAUGCCGCGUGAGUGAGGAAGGCCUUAGGGUUGUAAAACUCUUUCAGUGGGGAAGAUAAUGACGGUACCCACAGAAGAAGUCCCGGCAAACUCCGUGCCAGCAGCCGCGGUAAUACGGAGGGGGCAAGCGUUGUUCGGAAUUAUUGGGCGUAAAGGGCAUGUAGGCGGUUCGGUAAGUUAAAGGUGAAAUGCCAGGGCUUAACCCUGGAGCUGCUUUUAAUACUGCCAGACUUGAGUCCGGAAGAGGAUAGCGGAAUUCCUAGUGUAGAGGUGAAAUUCGUAGAUAUUAGGAGGAACACCAGUGGCGAAGGCGGCUAUCUGGUCCGGAACUGACGCUGAGGUGCGAAAGCGUGGGGAGCAAACAGGAUUAGAUAC
rnacentral:rRNA from 1 species